AUCCACCUGACGAGUCCUGAAUAGGACGAAAUACGUGUCAUGUAU
rfam:Schistosoma mattheei strain Denwood, Zambia genome assembly, scaffold: SMTD_scaffold0000726